AGCGGCAGACGGGUGAGUAACGCGUGGGAACGUACCUUUUGGUUCGGAACAACACAGGGAAACUUGUGCUAAUACCGGAUAAGCCCUUACGGGGAAAGAUUUAUCGCCGAAAGAUCGGCCCGCGUCUGAAUUACUUAUUUGGUGAGGUAAUGGCUCACCAAGGCGACAAUCAGUAGCUGGUCUGAGAGGAUGAUCAGCCACAUUGGGACUGAGACACGGCCCAAACUCCUACGGGAGGCAGCAGUGGGGAAUAUUGGACAAUGGGCGCAAGCCUGAUCCAGCCAUGCCGCGUGAGUGAUGAAGGCCCUAGGGUUGUAAAGCUCUUUUGUGCGGGAAGAUAAUGACGGUACCGCAAGAAUAAGCCCCGGCUAACUUCGUGCCAGCAGCCGCGGUAAUACGAAGGGGGCUAGCGUUGCUCGGAAUCACUGGGCGUAAAGGGUGCGUAGGCGGGUCUUUAAGUCAGGGGUGAAAUCCUGGAGCUCAACUCCAGAACUGCCUUUGA
rnacentral:rRNA from 1 species